rnacentral:rRNA from 1 species
UACAGAGGUCUCGAGCGUUGUUCGGAUUCAUUGGGCGUAAAGGGUGCGUAGGCGGUUUGGUAAGUCUCUUGUGAAAUCUAUGGGCUCAACUCAUAGUCUGCAAGGGAAACUGCCGGGCUUGAGUGUGGGAGAGGUGAGUGGAAUUUCCGGUGUAGCGGUGAAAUGCGUAGAUAUCGGAAGGAACACCUGUGGCGAAAGCGGCUCACUGGACCACAACUGACGCUGAUGCACGAAAGCUAGGGGAGCAAACAGG